rnacentral:misc_RNA from 1 species
GCAAACUUGGUCAUUUAGAGGAAGUAAAAGUCGUAACAAGGUUUCCGUAGGUGAACCUGCGGAAGGAUCAUUAACGAAUCUUCAAAGUCGGCCCUUCCGGUGCUGGUGGUCACACAUGUGCACGUUAGGGUCGCAAAUCCACACACCUGUGCAUACACGACUCUGAGUGCCUUACCCUGGUUUUGGGAGUUUGACUUUGGUCGGACUGGCGCUCGAGUAUUUUUCACACACUCUGAAUGUAAAGGAAUGUAUAUUUUGCAUAACACGCAAACAAAACAACUUUCAACAACGGAUCUCUUGGCUCUCGCAUCGAUGAAGAACGCAGC